GAUGAACGCUGGCGGCGUGCCUAAUACAUGCAAGUCGAGCGAACGGACGAGAAGCUUGCUUCUCUGAUGUUAGCGGCGGACGGGUGAGUAACACGUGGAUAACCUACCUAUAAGACUGGGAUAACUUCGGGAAACCGGAGCUAAUACCGGAUGAUAUUUUGAACCGCAUGGUUCAAAAGUGAAAGACGGUCUUGCUGUCACGUAUAGAUGGAUCCGCGCUGCAUUAGCUAGUUGGUAAGGUAACGGCUUACCAAGGCAACGAUGCAUAGCCGACCUGAGAGGGUGAUCGGCCACACUGGAACUGAGACACGGUCCAGACUCCUACGGGAGGCAGCAGUAGGGAAUCUUCCGCAAAGGGCGAAAGCCUGACGGAGCAACGCCGCGUGAGUGAUGAAGGUCUUCGGAUCGUAAAACUCUGUUAUUAGGGAAGAACAUAUGUGUAAGUAACUGUGCACAUCUUGACGGUACCUAAUCAGAAAGCCACGGCUAACUACGUG
rnacentral:rRNA from 1 species